CACACACACGCACUUGUAUAGCACCUAGUGGGCAGCCUGGCCUGGUUAAAGGGUCCCACUCCCAUCACAGCUGUCCACAUCUAAUAGUGACCAAGACCCAGAUCCGGAGGGGACCGAGGACCACACCUCUGCUGGAAGCACUAGUUUACAGAAGAGGAAACGGAGACUUGGAGAGAAGCCACUCACUUGGCUUCCAAACAGCACGUCACCUGGCUACAUGUAGCCAGGCCUCCUCUGCCCCAGUAACAGGAGCUCAGAAAAACACCCAUCACUCAUGGUUACUGUCAGUGCCCCUGGGCCUGUGCCCAGAGGUGCUGCUGUACCCAGACUCUUGAAAGGAGCUCAGGGAUCCCUACGAGUGGCUUUCCCUGUUUGGUCCCUCCCUCCUUUUCUUUCCUAACCCUCUUCAUCCCUGAUCUGACUUCCAUUCUCCCAAACAUCCGCAGGGACCCACUGGGCCAUACUAGCUAGGUCCUUGAACGUAGUUCCCAGGUCCUGUGUGCUGGCAAAUUAGUCCACCAGAGACGAGCUCUGGGACGGAGCGGCACUGCCCCAUGGUGUCCUCGGCUCUCAUCCUGCCAGACACAGAUCACCGGGUCAGGUCCCCGGCGGGGCAGCUGGUAGAUUCCAACCACCGACCUUCCAGCUUGCAGUUGAGAACUCAACCAUUACUCCAGCCGGGCUCCUCAAACAUAAGGAUGUCGUUGUUGUUGGGCGCUGUCUAGUCGGUUCCAACUCGUAGUGCCGCUGUCCACAAGGAACCGCUGCCCCGCCCUGCACCAUUCACACGGCCGGCGCUGUGUGGGAGCCCAUUGUCGCAGCCACUGUCAGUCCCUCUCGCUUCCUUUUCCACUGACCAAGCAGAAGGACCUUCGCCAGGAACCAGUCCCUCCUGAUAAUUUGUCCAAAGUGAAAAGUCACGUCACCUUGGUUUCUUCUCUAAGAGCCUCCUGGCUGUCCUCCUACCAAGACAGGUCCUUUGUUCGUCCAGCCGUCCACGUGCCUGCAGAUUCUUCGCCACCAUGAGUCUAAGGCCUCGAUUCUUCUGCCCCCUUUAUGCAUUGUCUAGCCAUCGCACCAAGAGGAGAUGCCUGAAAACGUCCAGGCUUGGGUCAGGCACAGCUGAGUCCUCAAACAUCUUAGCCUUGGACCACAUGAAAGAGUUCUUUGUGCCGAUGGAAUGGGUCGUUUCGAUUUCCUGAUCGCUGCUUCCACGGGCGGGACCGAGGAGCCAAAGAGAAUCCUCCGAAAUUCCCUCGAUCACUUCGGUCCGGUCUGCACUGGCAUCCACUGGCCAAGACUUGUUGUCUUCAUGUGGAGGAAGGAGCUCCGGGUGGAUGCCGACGCACAGCAACCCACCAGGACAGGGCAGAACUGCCCGCGUGGGUGUCUGAGACGGUCACUCUUUCCAGGAGUAGAAAGCCUCCUCUUUCUCCUGCAGAGUGCGCUGGUUUCGAACCGCCAACCUUCAGGUGAGCAGCCCAAAGCAUGACCGCUACGCCCCCAGGACACAUCAUCUCUGUGUAACAACGAGUGUUUGUGGGAAUGUGUGCUUUUUGAAACAAAACCUUGUUGGCUUCUUAGCUCUCUCCCUGAGGCCUUGUUUUUAAAGGGAGCUUUCUUUUCAGUGAAUAAUGUUUUCUAUUAUUUGAAUUAAAAAAAAAACACAACAUUCAUGGAUACUUUCAACGAAAGACCCUCAAGAUAAAUGAAUCGUAUUAAA